CCUGCCACUGUGGCUGAGCCCUCAAAUUUUUUGACUCACCAAUUCAGUUAGGUCUCUCCACAGUGGAUCUCAGUACCACCUCUCUAGUGGAUGGGUUUAUCCUCCAAUGCCUGGCUUUGUCUUCGACACUAGCUUUCAGUUCUGGCUCUGGCUUGGCUCUGGGUCUGACUCCCAGCAUUGUUUCCACGUCUCCACAAGGAUUUCUUCAUUUCUAAAAGUACUCCUGAUGAAUGCAGAACUUGCGUGCAGUUCCCAUGGAAAUGCUUGUUGUGUUCCAGAAUACCAUUAUAUGACUUUCCAAUAGAAUCCUUCAAGAUGAACUUUCAGUUUAAUAACCUCUGAGAAUUUCAUAGUAGGUGUUCUUGUGCCUAAGCCAAAAUCAGGCUGAAAAGUAACAGUAGUGCAUACUUGCAGAGCAUAUGUUGUCUCUGCUUCUAGUAACUAAUCUACAUGGAAGCUAGCAACGUACAGUUGCCAGCUAAAAAGAUAUUGAAAUAGCAGAAGGCUCUGCUAGCAAUCUGAAAGUCCUUGGUUAAAGUUAGACUUCAUCAGUAAGCUGAGCUGUUCCUGACCCCAAGACAUGCUAUAUGGUAAGGCUGCCAUGAAACCAGAGAGGCAGAAGAUCUGACCUGAGGAUGCUGAAUUUGCUCCAGAGAAGCACAAUAGUCAAC
rnacentral:lncRNA from 1 species